rnacentral:tRNA from 1 species
GCCAUUUUGGCUCAGUGGAUAGAGCAUUGGCCUGCAGACCAAAGGGUCCCGGGUUCAAUUCCAGUCAAGGGCA